CUCUUACUGAUGAGUCCAAAAAUAGGACGAAACGUGCGUCCUGGAU
rnacentral:hammerhead_ribozyme from 1 species